rnacentral:misc_RNA from 1 species
UACGUAGGUGGCAAGCGUUAUCCGGAAUUAUUGGGCGUAAAGCGCGCGUAGGCGGUCUGUUAAGUCUGAUGUGAAAGCCCCCGGCUCAACCGGGGAGGGUCAUUGGAAACUGGGGGACUUGAGUACAGAAGAGGAAAGUGGAAUUCCCGGUGUAGCGGUGAAAUGCGUAGAUAUGUGGAGGAACACCAGUGGCGAAGGCGACUUUCUGGCCUAUAACUGACGCUGAGGCGCGAAAGCGUGGGGAGCAAACAGG